rnacentral:rRNA from 1 species
CAGUAGCCACGGUAAUACGUAGGUCCCGAGCGUUGUCCGGAUUUAUUGGGCGUAAAGCGAGCGCAGGCGGUUAGAUAAGUCUGAAGUUAAAGGCUGUGGCUCAACCAUAGUACGCUUUGGAAACUGUUUAACUUGAGUGCAAGAGGGGAGAGUGGAAUUCCAUGUGUAGCGGUGAAAUGCGUAGAUAUAUGGAGGAACACCGGUGGCGAAAGCGGCUCUCUGGCUUGUAAUUGACGCUGAGGCUCGAAAGCGUGGGGAGCAAACAGGAUUAGAUACCCCCGUAGUCCCUGUCUCUUAUACA